rnacentral:tRNA from 1 species
UAAAAUAAAGCGAUUAAUUUGCAAUCAGUUUCGACCUGAUCUUAGAAAAAAAAUUCUAUUUUUUAA